GUUGAACUUCAAUGGUCGUACAGAGGAGACGUGUUGCUCUUCCUCUUGCCUCCCCCCGCCGGCUUUACCGCUUCCUCAUCCUUUUAAUACACAAAUAACGUGUUGUAACUGAGGAGUGAUGUGCCUGGCUGUGUGUGCUGCAACGUUGAUCAACACGGCAACAUUGACCAGUCUGAAGGGUGGAGACAACCACACUAGUAAAUGGUCUGACUCAUAACAUUUACUGUUAUAUGGAGCUGCAGCAGUUGGAGACGUCGUUAGAGGUUGAAGAUAUUCUCCAAGUUGUGGGCAGCUGCAAGCCUUCAGAGAUGUCAUCACCAGCAGCAACACGCCAAAAUAAUGUCUGCAAAGAUGAAAAUGAUACCCGAAUUUACAUGAGUGGUCCUCCAUUGAGGGCACUGCAAGACUCCAGGCAGACAUCAACCAAAUCUUUAAAUGGACCACAGAAAACAAUAUGAAGUUCAAUGAUGAGAAAACGUGAGGAAAUUAAAACUAUAUCAUAGUAUAAAACAAAUUCCAACCACACAUUAGAACGAAAAACUAAUGUAAAAGACCUGGGAGUGAUAAUGUCAGAAGAUCUCACCUUCAGUUAUGAACAGAUUAUAAAGUAAUGAACAACUCAAACGUCUACACGCGGUCACAACUGUAAUGAAUCAUUGACCUCAUCGCUUUAGGGCCGUGAGGUUGUGCUGCGCACACGCUCCUGGUUGAGAGGCCUUCCUGCGCAGAUUGAUUUUCACAAGAUGGCGCAGACUACAAGAAGGUGAGUCAACACUGUGUGCUUUGAUUUAGUGCGGGGUGUAGUUCCGCCUCAGUCCGCACAGGUGCUUCUACCUUUGAUUAUUUGCGACACAUACGGCAUUGCUGAUCAAGAUUUGUAUGGAGUAUCGCUCAACAGAGCUUACCGAAUAUUUGUUAAGCUACGAUCGAUGGCAGUGUAUGAACGCCUGGUGGAGCAUUAUCAAGAUGGCUGUGUGGAUGUAAACUCGGCAAUACGAGUUCGUUUAAUUGAUGUGUCGCGACACUACACUUGGGUGAAGGUACGUAACGUGCCUUUCGAAGCUGACGAGGCAGACAUACGGAACGUUUUUGAACGUUACGGUACUGUGCAUCUGGCAACGGCAGGUACCUGGGUGGAUGGGGCGUACGCCGGCUGGCCGGAGGGUAUGUUCAACCUAAAGAUGAUGCUGAGGCAUCCCAUCCCAUUGUUUGUCAUCCUGGACGACUUCCGGACGCAAGUGAUGGUGUAUUAUGCAGGGCAGCGCAAGACUUGCAGGCUAUGUGGCGCUUAUGACCAUAGGGUCAGCACAGUGGGAGAGGCACCCAGCGACGACAGGAUGCAGA